CAACGGACAUCAUGGCUCUCGCGAAGAAGAAGCGCAUGUCGAAGGCCGAGAAGCUGAAGAAGAUCAUUUCCGGGCGCGAUAAGUUCGAAAGCAACGAGCGCGGCGG
rnacentral:rRNA from 1 species